rnacentral:tRNA from 1 species
GCCGGAGUGGCGAAAUGGCAGACGCGCCAGACUCAAAAUCUGGUGGUGGCAACACUGUGUGGGUUCGAGUCCCUCCUCCGGCACCA